GCUUACGGCCAUACCACCGUGAACACGCCGGCUCUCGUCUGACUUAGGCAGCCAACCAGGGUCGGGCCUGGUCAGUACUUGGAUUGGAGACAUCCUGGGAAUACCAGGUGCUGUAAGCU
rnacentral:rRNA from 1 species